GCCGAGCACCUGCACCAGGCCCUGCGCUACCUGCGGAGCCCACAGGAGCCCCUGCGAGAGGCGGCCGUCAGGUUCAUGGGCAUGGCCGGGCGGCACCUGAGGGGGCAGCAGCAAGAGCUGCAGCUGAUCUGCACUGCCCUGGAAGAAAUGGCAUGUGACAGCAGUCCUGCCAUCAGAAAUCUGUCAGCUGAAGCUGGGUUCGUUCUGCGGGCUGUACAGAGGGCUCCCUACUCCACUUGGCGUAAGCUGCGAGAUGAGUUCUGCAGCGCAUGGAAGAAACGGC